GACGAACGCUGGCGGCGUGCUUAACACAUGCAAGUCGAACGGUGAAGCCCUUCGGGGUGGAUCAGUGGCGAACGGGUGAGUAACACGUGGGCAAUCUGCCCUGCACUCUGGGACAACACCGGGAAACCGGUGCUAAUACCGGAUACGACGUGCCUCCGCAUGGGGUGUGCGUGGAAAGCUCCGGCGGUGCAGGAUGAGCCCGCGGCCUAUCAGCUUGUUGGUGGGGUGACGGCCUACCAAGGCGACGACGGGUAGCCGGCCUGAGAGGGCGACCGGCCACACUGGGACUGAGACACGGCCCAGACUCCUACGGGAGGCAGCAGUGGGGAAUAUUGCACAAUGGGCGGAAGCCUGAUGCAGCGACGCCGCGUGAGGGAUGACGGCCUUCGGGUUGUAAACCUCUUUCAGCAGGGAAGAAGCGUGAGUGACGGUACCUGCAGAAGAAGCACCGGCUAACUACGUGCCAGCAGCCGCCGUAACAC
rnacentral:rRNA from 1 species